UACAGAGGGGGCAAGCGUUAUUCGGAAUUAUUGGGCGUAAAGGGCGCGUAGGCGGCUUGGCAAGUGGAUGGUGAAAUCCCUCGGCUUAACCGAGGAACUGCCGUCCAAACUGCUUCGCUUGAGACCGGGAGAGGUGAGUGGAAUUCCCAGUGUAGCGGUGAAAUGCGUAGAUAUUGGGAGGAACACCAGUGGCGAAGGCGGCAUCCUGGACCACGACUGACGCUGAGGAGCGAAAGCCAGGGGAGCAAACGGG
rnacentral:rRNA from 1 species